rnacentral:rRNA from 1 species
AUUGAACGCUGGCGGCAGGCCUAACACAUGCAAGUCGAGCGAGCGGCGGACGGGUGAGUAAUGUCUGGGGACUGCCCGAUAGAGGGGGAUAACUACUGGAAACGGUAGCUAAUACCGCAUACUAUCGGAUAACCCAUAUGGGAUUAGCUAGUAGGUGAGGUAAUGGCUCACCUAGGCGACGAUCCCUAGCUGGUCUGAGAGGAUGAUCAGCCACAGUGGGAUGUGGAAACGGCCCGGACUUCUACGGAGGCAGCAGGGGGGAAUAUUGCACAAUGGGCGCAAGCCUGAUGCAGCCAUGCCGGGUGUAUGAAGAAGGCCCUAGGGUUGUAAAGUACUUUCAGUCGGGAGGCGUUACCGACAGAAGAAGCACCGGCUAACUCCGUGCCAGCAGCCGCGGGAAUAC